UACGUAGGGUGCGAGCGUUGUCCGGAAUUACUGGGCGUAAAGAGCUCGUAGGCGGUUUGUCGCGUCGUCCGUGAAAAACUUGGGGCUCAACCCCCAAGCUUGCGGGUGAUACGGGCAGACUUGAGUACUGCAGGGGGAGACUGGAAUUUCCUGGUGUAGCGGUGAAAUGCGCAGAUAUCAGGAGGAACACCGGUGGCGAAAGGCGGGUCUCUGGGCAGUAACUGACGCUGAGGAGCGAAAGCGUGGGUAGCAAAACAGG
rnacentral:rRNA from 1 species